UCCCUCCCUACACCAACGCUCACUAGCAAUGGUGGUCUCCCCCUCUCCUUCUCCCCGCGCAUCGUGUGGUCUAGAGAUGCCAGUAGCCAAACCUUUUUUUUUUCUAACCGGGCUAGCGACUGUCUGUGGUGUAGCGCACCCCUUAUCUUUUUGCCAGCGGGCUAGAGCGGCCUUAGCUAGGGCCGGCCACUGCGGCCUAGGUCGCGGCGGUGCGGUCUAGGUCGCGGCCGCGCGGGGGAGGGAGGCGGGAUCUCUGGGCGUCGUCGAGUAGAGCCACGACGCGGUCGCAGACGCAGCACGGCGUGGCAGCCUUUUCGGAGGAGGCCGCAGGACGCGGUUCGGAGGAAGCUGAGCCCCCCGCGGUGGCGCUCGGAGGAGGCUGAGCCCCCCGCGGUGGCGCUUGCCGGGAUGGCCCUCGUCGCGGCCGCAGGAAGCUGAGAGGACGAGCUGUUGCGGUAGCGGAUCCUUUGUCUAGAACCCCCCAACUGGACUCGGGAGGUACCACGCGCCGUUCAGGCUGGCCCCCCUGUGCAGCCACCAGCAGCAGCAGAACCUCUGUUUACUCCACAUGUAACACCACUCGGACAGCUGUCGUCCACUGUGCGUCCACUAGACGCAGCUGGGGUGGUGCCCGCGCGACGCGGUGGUCCCCUUCGUCCCCCUCCUGGAGAAACUAAGGCUCCGCCGACGGGACUUUGUGUAGUGGUUGCCCAGCUCUAAGAAUAGGUUCUCAUGGUGUAUACGGUUUCGGCACGACCCGAUACGGCACAAUCCCUCAAUACGAGACGAAGAGCAACGUUGCGUCGAGUCACGCUGCCAGGGUGCCGAUGGACCUCCGCCCACAUAUAUAUGGCACCGCCUCUCAGUUACCCAUUUCUAAGUCGACGUCUUAGGAGUCGGGGUCCCUUCACCUCUCGACUUCUUAUAGUUCCUAAACCGACUAGAACUGUAACUACCGUUCAUGAUGAAAACACUUUGCUCCCUAUAGUGAUCCGGCAAAGGUUCAGCCUACCGAUAAGUCCUUGGUCUACUCCUUAAGCACACCUUACGCACCAACAGUUCCGGAAAGUUCCUGUAACCAAACGGUCCCGUAACACAGUAAGAAAACGUCCCGAAACGUCUCACAGCGUUAAAACCUCGAUGUCCCGUCGUUCCACCCGAUCAACGAGAGUAACGUGCGGCAUCAGCCAAUGUAGGACCUUGGGCGAUAAACCGAGCACCCGACUUACGUACAAGACCGUGGCCGUUACUCCACCUCACGCUCGUUUAACAAACCCGGGGAGUUUUUCCACCCGUUCAUUAUGGAAAAUUGAGCAUAUAGACCGCCGCACCCUGAUAUGGUUAUACCACCCCACGUCUUUAUUUCUUACGACACAGUCAACUCCGACUCUAAAUACAACGACUACUAGGAAUGUUACCCUGGAACGUUAUGAUGGUUGCCGACCCAGCUUCUAUGCCAUUAUUUAGUAGACUUCAGUUACGAUGCUCAUUCUUCUUUGGACCUUACCAAGGGUAACACACACAAUUGAACGAUUCUAUACGACUUCCUUUUGGACUCUGUUAAGAUCAACUUGUAAAGUUUCUUAGAGACUUCAUGGACUUCAGAUGACCGUUCGAACCUUUGUGGACCUAAGUCAACUAUUUAAUACUGACCGUACGGUGACACUUCAAUUUUCCCGUUGUUGUCUGUCAACUCCCGGAGACCUCCGUGGAAUUUCGUGGUUGUUACCGGUAACCGAAGUCACUUCCCUUAAUGAUGUCACAUUUUGUCGUCGAAUUGCUUACGUUCCCUAGUUAAUAGACGUUACCACUACCACCCAAGACAUACCUAUUAUAAGUUUUACCACACCAUGCAAAAUUAACACGUCUAAGGGAACUAGCGUGGUUACGACGAUCGAUAAAACCCCGCGAAGUUCAAAAACAGCUUGUCACAUCAGUUGAACCAUAAAGGGAACUAUAUCUACGAUACAAACCGAAUAGCUGUUCGUCUUUAAGACUCAUAUUGCCAGCCUCACGAGCAAGAAACGGGGGACCGACCCUCCUUGCGAAACUGAGACAUUGUCCAUUUAGUAAAAUAUAGCUAGUAUUAUGUGCAUGAUGGAGUACCCUCGUAGGUACGGUCCUUCGAGGUGUAUUCGCGACCUUCUCUAAACUAUACUGUAAACUCGUCAAGUUCUCGAGUUGUUACGAACGGGGUCACUUGGUGGAACGACUUUAAAAAGAAAACCGACCACUAUAUGUACGGUGCAACAUGUGACCGAGUUUUCGAUACGUGUCGCUCUAAGAUUUGUAUAAGUUCCUCCUCUGACCUUUCAAGUCAUUUAAGAGACGACGAGUCUUACAGUUCUAAUGUGACGUUUCUUCCAAGGUGUUAAUAUACUUACUAUCGAGAGCAGUUUUUGUCAAACUCUACAAAGAACCUAACUCCGAUAUAUUCGUAGAGGGUAGGUAGGGUUAAAAGGGAGAGUUUCAUGAUAGCUCUGGUAGACCUACGUACAACUUUGGUCAAGGAACAUAGUGAGGUUACCGACUACCACCAAGGUCAGAAGAGUCGAAGUUUUUCUUCCUAUAACAAACCCAUACGGUCGUUCCACGUCUGAUACAACUCGAAAAAUAUAUGGAACCUCUUGGAACAGUACAAAGAGUCGAAGAAGAAUGACAAAGGGUACCCCAACUUCUAAGAAGUAUAGGUCGAUGACAUCUACAGUCUCAACCGAGGUCGUAUCUACGGGAAUUCGAACAACAACUCCCGCGAACGUAUGGGGUCACGAGCUUACCCUGUUUAAACAACUAGGGAGAGUGACCUUCUUAAGUAGGUCUCCUGAACCGACAAUGUCCGUUAUCACGAGCUGGCCUGCAAGUUCUCUCGUGAAUAGAAGGCAACAAUAUGCUGAAGCUUCUCGACCUUCCUCUUCACUUGAAAGAUUUAGCCCAACAGCGUAAUAGAAAAGUAGGAAGAGGGUACCGCUCUUGUCGGUAGUGUGAACCACUCUAACUUCAUGAACCACAAAGAGAAGGUACCCACCUAUACAAUUGGUUAUCGUUUCCACAACGAGUUCAAAACCUCGAGGAGGUACUUUUUCGUAUAUGAGGGGCGCUAGAUCGAAACUCCUUAUAACGUCUAAGAAGGAGAGGACCAUUACUACAAGUGCCAUCACUCUCCUCAAUAUGAUCUUCAAGUGGUAGUCAAGUUGGACCACCAAGUCCUUUAAAACACCUAAAAGAGUGCCCACUAUAGCUGCAUGGCUUGGUUAGUUUUUAGUGACCUUUAUGUAGAAAACCAUUACUCCUAGUCUGCUUGAAGAAACUACUACUUAAACUGCAGUUGGGAAAACGGUGGAGUAGUCUUCUCGGACAACGACUUCAGUUAUUGGUACAACUUCCAACACCGUCAUGUGUCAAAAUAGAGCUCAAAAACCUCAGUGAAAGAGUUUUAUUAUUCCCUUUCUCGGAAUUGAAACUUGUUUACUACUUCGAACUUUAUUUUGCAGAAAUAGAACUAGAAAGACGACGGCUUUCCCUGGCCCGUAACAAUAGCUAACCACAUUAAGGACGGUGCCAUCUAGGUUUAGCAAGUCAACUAAUGAGAAUGGACAACUUCAAUAGGUCGGAAUGACUAUUCGAUCGUAACGACCCCGUAAGACAGAAGCUCCUAGCACGAUUACGAAGUUAUCCCGAGCUUUUCCAGUUAUCGGUACGACAUCUGAAAACCUUAUAGUCACUUUUACCACUUAGUACGAGACCACCCCGUACACUUCAGGCACGACAUAGAAGCAAUGUUCGAAGUCGAUGAUCACCUUCAUGUAGUGAUAAGCACCUCACAAGGGUCACGCUUUCCUGUCGAACGUUCCGAACGACACGACCCUUUCCCCGGAAGGAAAACGAACCGUUGUGAAUGUCUCUAGACUUCUAUAUACCACCCUUAGUUCCACCACCGAUAAGUCGGGAGCGUCUAUCAAGACACACGUUUAGUACGACGUUACUCUACUAGUUUGUUCGUGACAUACAGCUAAUACAGUCCCAAGAAGUAUCAUACUCUUCUUUUCCAGCACGCCUCUUUCGUCGUGACUUUCGUCACUUAGUCCAGACGGUUGAACUCGGGUUAUCUUAUAGCCUAAGUCAUGUAUCACAAGUUAGACCAGACUCUGUUAACUUCGUCGAGGAACUACUACUUCUUAGAGAACGUCUUAAAGGUGUACGUUCGAAAAAUGUAUGCCAUCUUUGACGACUACUGAGACGAGGUGACAAAAGUAACAACCGUGGUGAACCAUCACCUCACGUGUUCAGGAUGACCUUUCGAGGUGUUCCGUUGUGUAGACACCUCAAGGGCUAACAAGAACCGCCAUAUAGUCUACAAAGUCCUCAACGUUAUUAACAGUCAAGGACACCAAUGAGUUGUAGACUAACGGGUUAACACCUCUAUACCCGAUCAUUAUUUUAUGUCGCUCUACUGGCGUGUAAGUAUCCUUUCACCCUGCACGUUUCAUACUAUCACAGUAGAGGUGUCGAAAUACCUGGUCUUUUAAGCCCAUCGAACCUACUCCGUGGUUCUGUGAAAUUUGAUGUGAAGGGUUUAGGAUAAGCGACAGCGUAUUAAAGUUAUUUUUACUGUGAAGGGGUUUAACCAAGAUCGAGUUGGUUCAAAUUACUUCUGAAAUCACUAGAAAAUAGUAACCUACUUUCGAGUAAAUAACUAAGGUUCCGUUUGUUAAGUGUAUUGAGUAAAUAGGUACGUUUUUCCUAACAACAAAAGCCAUCGAGAAACGGGUUCCUCUACCCAGGACUGUGUAGACACCGUUAUUACUCCUACUCUUCAAUGCAUCUACCCAGUGGUAGCAAACCGUCUAAAUCCUAAGGCCAACUCCGACUCUCCAACUCUCUGGUGCUAGAACAAGAACUCGUUAUAGAGAACGGAUUAAGCGGACCUUAUCGACCUAAAGCGGAACUAAGGAAACCACAAUAUUCUGGAGCUCAUUGGGUAAGUGGAGACGGUAGUCUCAAUCUAUACUUCCUCACAAGUAACUAUGCAUACCUUCUAUCUGUGAAUUUAGGACGUUAAGAAGUAUAUGUUCAGUGUCAACAAUUCCUCAGACCGUUCGACCAACAUCUCCUUAUGGCAGACGGCCUUCAAUUUCGUUUGUGUGGUGACAUAAAACUAAAAAGCCUAAACGUCGUUCUACGGGCAACACAAUAGAAAUCUAAUGAACCUCUACAGUGACGGAAACAACUACUAUAACGACUCUAACUACCGAAUUCGAACGCCUUAGAAGGAGACCGAAGACCUAACAGAAACAGUUUAUUCCAGUUCGACAUGAUGAUGCGACUAUGGAUACUCUACCCUUUCUAGCCGUCAGAGAGCCGUCAUACUAUAUAUGUUCCAACAUGUACGGUAGUACUUCACUAAGUGCCAACCAUGUAUAACCACAACAUUUGAUCAUAAUAAGGAAACACAGCCACACCAUCCGCUAUUGAUGUCGUCACGUCACGUCACGUCACGUCGUGCUAUAUGGUGUUGGUUUUGGGUGUUCUUGAACUCUUGCAAGACAAACACGCUAUGUUCAACUCCUGGGACCCCUAUAAUUGAUAUCAUAAAGAAAGAAAUGAAAAAAACAAACAUCUUACAGCCAUUUAGCUUCUAGGUAAACGAAAACAUCCUACAAACUUUUAAGUUAGACUAACGGUGUGAAAACUACGACGGUCAAUGUCAAACACCUACGCACAUACUUUAGACACUUCCUAGUUCACGACUUAAAACAUGCUCCAAAAGAAAUGACUGUUUAUAAAACUCGUGACUAAAAAAAUGUCAAUGUUCAAGUGAACAUACAACGUGAAUUAAACUUGUUGUAGACUCCGAUUCUCCACCCGGUUAUAAAGUCACAGUGUAACC
rnacentral:rRNA from 1 species